GUUUAUGGGCGGGCUGAGCAGGGGCCGCAAGGCCGCUGGUGCCUCACCAGUACUGCAACCUGUUCAGUUCCGCCCACCAUG
rnacentral:antisense_RNA from 1 species